GAUGAGCGCUAGCGGCAGGCUUAAUACAUGCAAGUCGAGGGGCAGCAUGACUGUAGCAAUACAGUUGAUGGCGACCGGCAAACGGGUGCGGAACACGUACAGAACCUUCCUUCGAGCGGGGAAUAGCCCAGAGAAAUUUGGAUUAAUACCCAUAGUAUAUUGGAGUGGCAUCACUUUGAUAUUAAAGAUUUAUCACUUGAAGAUGGCUGUGCGGCUGAUUAGGUAGUUGGCGGGGUAACGGCCCACCAAGCCUGCGAUCAGUAACUGGUGUGAGAGCGCGACCAGUCACACGGGCACUGAGACACGGGCCCGACUCCUACGGAAGGCAGCAGUAAGGAAUAUUGGUCAAUGGACGAAAGUCUGAACCAGCCAUGCCGCGUGGAGGAUGAAGGUCCUCUGGAUUGUAAACUUCUUUUAUAUGGGACGAAAAAAGGCUUUUCUAAGUCGUCUGACGGUACCAUAUGAAUAAGCACCGGCUAACUCCGUGCCAGCCGCCGCAGUAACAC
rnacentral:rRNA from 1 species